AUCGCUUCUCAGCCUUUUGGCUAAGAUCAAGUGUAGUACCUGUGGUCUGGAUUAUAGAGGCAAGGGCUGAGGAAGGAGUUAUAUGGCUCAGGCAGUGGAGCAAAUUUUAUGUUAGUUUACUUUCUUUGGUUACAUGUUAUAGAAACCCAUUAAGUGUAGGCUGAGUGCUACUGUUGGUGACCCAUA